rnacentral:rRNA from 1 species
CCUACGGGAGGCAGCAGUGGGGAAUAUUGCACAAUGGGGGAAACCCUGAUGCAGCGACGCCGCGUGAGUGAAGAAGUACUUCGUUAUGUAAAGCUCUAUCAGCAGGGAAGAAAAUGACGGUACCUGAGUAAGAAGCCCCGGCUAACUACGUGCCAGCAGCCGCGGUAAGACGUAGGGGGCAAGCGUCAUCCGGAUUUACUGGGUGUAAAGGGAGCGUAGACGGCAGUGCAAGUCUGGAGUGAAAGGCGGGGGCUCAACCCCAGGACUGCUCUUGAAACUGUACGGCUGGAGUGCAGGAGAGGGAAGUGGAAUUCCUAGGGUAGCGGUGAAAUGCGUAGAUAUUAGGAGGAACACCAGUGGCGAAGGCGGCUUACUGGACUGUAACUGACGUUGAGGCUCGAAAGCGUGGGGAGCAAACAGGAUUAGAUACCCCAGUAGUC